rnacentral:rRNA from 1 species
UAGGGAAUCUUCCGCAAUGGACGCAAGUCUGACGGAGCAACGCCGCGUGAGUGAAGAAGGUUUUCGGAUCGUAAAGCUCUGUUGUUAAGGAAGAACGAGUGUGAGAAUGGAAAGUUCAUGCUGUGACGGUACUUAACCAGAAAGGGACGGCUAACUACGUGCCAGCAGCCGCGGUAAUACGUAGGUCCCGAGCGUUGUCCGGAUUUAUUGGGCGUAAAGCGAGCGCAGGCGGUUAGAAAAGUCUGAAGUGAAAGGCAGUGGCUCAACCAUUGUAGGCUUUGGAAACUGUUUAACUUGAGUGCAGAAGGGGAGAGUGGAAUUCCAUGUGUAGCGGUGAAAUGCGUAGAGAUAUGGAGGAACACCGGUGGCGAAAGCGGCUCUCUGGUCUGUAACUGACGCUGAGGCUCGAAAGCGUGGGGAGCGAACAGG